rnacentral:rRNA from 1 species
UACGAGGGGGGCGAGCGUUGUUCGGAAUUAUUGGGCGUAAAGGGUGCGUAGGCGGUUUGGUAAGUCUUGUGUGAAAUCUCCAGGCUCAACUUGGAGUCUGCACGAGAAACUGCCGGGCUUGAGUGUGGGAGAGGUGAGUGGAAUUCCCGGUGUAGCGGUGAAAUGCGUAGAGAUGUGGAGGAAUACCGAUGGCGAAGGCAGCCCCCUGGGAUAAUACUGACGCUCAUGCACGAAAGCGUGGGGAGCAAACAGG